GGAAUCAGGAAACAUUUAUUGCCAUAAUAUGUCAGAUAUACAAGGAAUUUGACUUGGCGGUUGGUACAUACAACAGAAGACAGUACGAUAUUCUCUUCUCAGUACGAUAGACUCUCUCUGCCCUCUUACGACCCGACGGACUGGCAAAUCCCCUCCGGCUCUGUGGCUGUCUCAACCGGUGCGUGCCAUGAGAGCCACCAUGCGAGCAUCGGAAAGGAGAUGGGGAGGCAAUAGUUAACCCUCUUCUGAAGAAACCUACCCUCAACCCUUCUGAAGAAAACAACUACAGGUGGCGGCACGGAUCUCUGCCUGUCUGACUGAUCUCUCAGUGGAUCCGCCCACCAUCUGAAAAUCAACCCCGACAAGACUGAACUACUUCUCUUUCCCGGAAAAGACUCUCCGACCCAGGACCUGACGGUCAACUUUGGCAACUCCGUGCUAACGCCCACUUUAACUGCUAGGAACCUCGGUGUCACACUUGACAGCCAACUCUCCCUGACUCCCAACAUCACUGCGACAACACGAUCCUGUAGAUACACACUCUACAACAUCAGGAGAAUACGUCCCCUUCUCACGUAGAAGGCUGCCCAGGUACUGAUUCAGGCUCUUGUCAUUUCACGCCUGGACUACUGCAACUCUCUCCUGCAGGUCUCCCUGCUACCGCCAUUCGACCUUUGCAGCUCGACUGCUGCCCGCAUCCAGUUCAAAACAUUGGUGCUCACAUACCAUGCUGUGAAUGGAUCAGGUCCAGCUUACGUCCAGGACAUGGUCAAACCCUACAUCCCGACCCGCACUCUCCGCUCUGCAUCUGCUAAACUGCUCGUCCCUCCCUCAUUGAGAGCAAAACACUUGGCUAGAUCACGACUCUUUGCUGUCCUUGCUCCGAAAUGGUGGAACGAGCUCUCUGAAGACACCAGGACCGCAGAGAGCCUUCACAUCUUCCGCCGCAAACUAAAGACACACCUCUUCAGACUCUACCUUGACGAAAAGACUAACAAAUUGUAGCACUUAUAUUGUACUUAUAACGCCACUCAUCUAUAGCAAAUUGUAAAUUGGCUUGUUUGAGGAAAUUGCACUUUCUUGUUUCUUGUUCUUCUGAGUGUGUACCCCUAUGGUUGAAUGCACUUAUUGUAAGUCGCUUAAACCGUCAGCUAAAUGACAUGUAAUGUAAUGUAAUAUUAUAUUUUAUAUUAUAUUUAAAAAUUUAAAAUAAAG
ensembl:lncRNA